rnacentral:rRNA from 1 species
GACGAACGCUGGCGGUGUGCUUAACACAUGCAAGUCGAACGGAAAGGCUCUGCCUUUGUGGGGUGCUCGAGUGGCGAACGGGUGAGUAACACGUGAGUAACCUGCCCUUGACUUUGGGAUAACUUCAGGUAACUGGGGCUAAUACCGGAUAGGAGCUCCUGCUGCAUGGUGGGGGUUGGAAAGUUUCGGCGGUUGGGGAUGGACUCGCGGCUUAUCAGCUUGUUGGUGGGGUAGUGGCUUACCAAGGCUUUGACGGGUAGCCGGCCUGAGAGGGUGACCGGCCACAUUGGGACUGAGAUACGGCCCAGACUCCUACGGGAGGCAGCAGUGGGGAAUAUUGCAGAAUGGGCGGAAGCCUGAUGCAGCAACGCCGCGUGCGGGAUGACGGCCUUCGGGUUGUAAACCGCUUUCGCCUGUGACGAAGCGUGAGUGACGGUAAUGGGUAAAGAAGCACCGGCUAACUACGUG